GACGAACGCUGGCGGCGUGCCUAAUACAUGCAAGUCGAGCGGACCAAACAGGAGCUUGCUCUUGUUUGGUUAGCGGCGGACGGGUGAGUAACACGUGGGUAACCUGCCCGUAAGACCGGGAUAACUCCGGGAAACCGGAGCUAAUACCGGAUAACACCGAAGACCGCAUGGUCUUUGGUUGAAAGGCGGCUUCGGCUGCCACUUACGGAUGGGCCCGCGGCGCAUUAGCUAGUUGGUGAGGUAACGGCUCACCAAGGCGACGAUGCGUAGCCGGCCUGAGAGGGUGACCGGCCACACUGGGACUGAGACACGGCCCAGACUCCUACGGGAGGCAGCAGUAGGGAAUCUUCCGCAAUGGACGAAAGUCUGACGGAGCGACGCCGCGUGAGCGAAGAAGGUCUUCGGAUCGUAAAGCUCGGUUGUUAGGGAAGAAGAAGCGCCGUUCGAACAGGGCGGCGCGGUGACGGUACCUAACGAGAAAGCCCCGGCUAACUACGUG
rnacentral:rRNA from 1 species